AUGACUGCAUUUUUCAGGAAAAAGUACGAAACACCAUUGAUGUACUGGCACACACAAAAAAGUCCCUGUGAGGUCACAGCAAGAAGGUGGCUAUCUACAAACCAAGGAAAAAGAUGCCUCAGACAAUUUUGAGCAUUGGCAGUGAGCUGCUGCUGUACUGGAAGUACUUGCUGAAUGAGAGGAAAGAGGAUCUACUGAACAAUCAUGCAAGAUGGAGGACAAUGG
rnacentral:lncRNA from 1 species